UUAUUAAGCUUUCCUAAAAAAUCGACGUUUCAGUCCUAUUCAAGGACUUUCAUCAGGAUUAUGUAAACGUGUUUACAUAAUCCUGAUGAAAGUCCUUGAAUAGGACUGAAAUGUCGAUUUUUUAGGAAAGCUUAAUA
rnacentral:miRNA from 1 species